rnacentral:rRNA from 1 species
AUUGAACGCUGGCGGCAUGCCUUACACAUGCAAGUCGAACGGCAGCAUGGGUGCUUGCACCUGAUGGCGAGUGGCGAACGGGUGAGUAAUGCAUCGGAACGUACCCGGAAGUGGGGGAUAACGUAGCGAAAGUUACGCUAAUACCGCAUAUUCUGUGAGCAGGAAAGCGGGGGAUCGCAAGACCUCGCGCUAUUGGAGCGGCCGAUAUCAGAUUAGCUAGUUGGUGGGGUAAAGGCCUACCAAGGCAACGAUCUGUAGUUGGUCUGAGAGGACGACCAGCCACACUGGGACUGAGACACGGCCCAGACUCCUACGGGAGGCAGCAGUGGGGAAUUUUGGACAAUGGGCGCAAGCCUGAUCCAGCAAUGCCGCGUGCAGGAAGAAGG